rnacentral:tRNA from 1 species
GGGCGAAUAGCUCAGUUGGAUAGAGCGCUUCUCUUACACGGAAGAGGUCACAGGUUCAAGUCCUGUUUCGCCCA